GACGAAGGAUGCAAGCGUUAUCCGGAUUCAUUGGGUUUAAAGGGAGCGUAGGUGGUCUUAUAAGUCAGUGGUGAAAUCUCUGGGCUUAACCCAGAAAUUGCCAUUGAUACUGUAGGACUUGAGUACAGAUGCCGUUGGCGGAAUAUGACAUGUAGUGGUGAAAUACAUAGAGAUGUCAUAGAACACCGAUUGCGAAGGCAGCUGACGAAGCUGUAACUGACACUGAGGCUCGAAAGUGCGGGGAUCAAACAGG
rnacentral:rRNA from 1 species